GGGGGGGGCAGGGGGGCAGAAGUGCCCUUUUAGUUGUAAAAUAAUACGUGAUAAAUCACAUUUCCAACGAUGCUUUUUGUAGGAAAAUCACGAGAUUCAGGUAAUUGAUAGUUUAUUUUUAUAAAAAAUUUUGGAAAUUUUUGGAAUUUAGAAAAAUAUUUUGAAGAAAUGGCGAAAAUUUAAGAUAUCCGGAAAAAUUUUUGGCUUCACGGAGAAUUUUUGUAUGUCCGGAAAAUAUUUUUGACCCCUAAAAUGGUACACUGACCGAAAUUUUUUUGGCGACGGGGGGGAGGUCGCCAAAAAAUUUUGCAGUGAAAAAAAAUUUUUCAGUAAAGGUGCCCUUGGUGUGCGUCCGCCCCCCUUUGCCCUAUUAUCGUUCCGGCGUCCCUGGUACACACUCAUCAAGGGGGCUUACUUAAUAAUACUGUUAUUCUGAGAUCUCGCGCGUGCACUUUUACUGUAGGCUGCAGUCAUUGUCAUAUACAAAACAGCCUCCAAAUUACUAAAACGUCUUUCAAAGUUCAAAAAAACCGAGUAAGUCUAGUAAAGAAAUCCAUGAAAAAUUUCCCAAAUCCACGAGAAUUCGUAUUGUAAUAAAUACGGAUGAACUUUAUAAUUCCUCUAAAUUCCUACAUGGCGCCGUUUCAUACAAUUGCA